rnacentral:lncRNA from 10 species
UUGAGACAGAGUCUCCCUCUGUCACCCAGGCUAAAGUGCAGUGGCGCCAUCUCAGCUCACUGCAACCUGCACCUUCUGGACUCAAGUGAUUCUUGUGUCUCAGCCUCCUAAGUAGCUGGGACUAUAGGCACACGCCACCACACCGAGCUAAUUUUUGUAUUUUAAGUAGAGGUGGGGUUUUGCCAUGUUGGCCAGGCUAGUCUCGAACUCUUGGCCUCAAGUGAUCCACCCACCUCUACCUCCCAAAGUGCUGGGCUUAUAGGCAUGAGGCAUGGCGCCCAGCCAGAAAAUUGUAUUUUAUACCCCCAAAUUUUAUAAGAAUAAAAUAGCAGCAUAUAGGCAGUACUUUCUAAGAAAGGACAGUUGGUAACCUUACAUCAGAUAGAUAGAGAGAGAGACAGGCAGGCAGGCAGGCAGACUAUAUUGUCUUUAUUUUUUGCUUUAGGCCACUGCAACACUAGAUGAGCGCUGGUUCCCAGGCUGUUACUUGGAAGCCACUGAUAAAGAAGUCAUAUGACAGGAGUUCCAUGUCUUUCAUUUUUUGGCAAGGUUUCUAGAAACUUUGGUCCUUCCUAAGAAUAAAUACAAUCUGCACUGUUUUUACUCUUAUCAUCUGGAAGUCACUGCCAAAGCCAGGCCUUGGACUGAGCCCACAACCACACAAGCCUGGCUGAUUGAGCUUGAAUCUGCCGGAUCUAGAAUUCCACUUGAGUGCACAGAUGUCCUGGGAGUUUUUCUGCAUUUCCAUUAGUUUAAGAUGAAGGAUCUAUGAUGGAGGAUGAGGAUUGUGAGGGGUGUCCUCACCCACUUGUCCUGUUUAUUCCAAGUCAGUAUCUUUUAUUAUUGAUUCAAUAAGAUGACUUAAGUGAAUAGAAAAAUGUGAUUUAAUUUGUCUAACUCUAUAGGACUAGAUAUCAUGGAUUCAGAUUUGGAAAACAUGGCUACUACAAACAGAUAUCUUUUUAUUAAUUAAAUAAUAAUGAUAAGUAUUAUAGCUAUUCUUUUUAUUUAAUUUUUUUCUUCUUUUGAAGAAAAUAUUCACACUCUGCAGGAUAACUUCUGGUAAUUAUACAUGUGAAUUUACAUAAUACAGAAUGUUAACAUUUAAAAAAAUCAACGUGUAUAUUUUGCUUUUUUUUUAAAUUUUGAACAUGUAUAUUUUGUAUUCAGCUUUACUGACUUACUAAUUUAUGUGUACUUUCCCAACUACUGACAAUAUUUUAUCACUUUAAAAUGGCUACAUUAUGAAAAUCUUUAAA